UACGGGGGGAGCAAGCGUUGUUCGGAUUUACUGGGCGUAAAGGGCGCAGUAGGCGGCCAGCACAAGUCAGUUGUGAAAUCUCCGGGCUUAACUCGGAAAGGUCAACUGAUACUGUGCGGCUAGAGUGCAGAAGGGGCAACUGGAAUUCUCGGUGUAGCGGUGAAAUGCGUAGAUAUCGAGAGGAGCACCUGCGGCGAAGGCGGGUUGCUGGGCUGACACUGACGCUGAUGCGCGAAAGCCAGGGGAGCGAAACGGGG
rnacentral:rRNA from 1 species